AUCAGGGACUGAUGCAGCCUCCAUUCCCUGUUCCCCUGCACUGCUGGUGGGGGAGGACGUAGAAGAGGGUGGAUUGGGGAAGGUGUUUUUAGUUUGUUUUUAUUGUUAGUAAUAGGUAAUAAAUUAUAGUCGUCUCCCUGUGCUGAGUCUGUUUUGCCCAUCACGAUAAUUGCUGAGUGAUCUUCCUGUCCUUAAUCUCAACACUUGAGCCCUUUGCAUUUUAUUUUCUCCCCCUUUUCCUUUUCGGAGGGGGGAGUGAGAGAGUGGUUGUAAUGGAGCUCAGCUGCCCAGUUGGGUAAAACCAUACGAUUCUAUCUCACAAUUCCACUAGUUUUGAGUGAAUGUUCUUUUGUAUUCAUGGACCGGUGAGUCAAUGUUAUGAAUCUUAAAAAAAAAAAAAAAGGGUGGGGUGGGAGAAGAGGUCCCAAACAAGAAUUGAAAAACAAAACAUUAAAAAUAGGAUUUUUUUACAUUUUUUUCCCCCUAAAUGCUGAAUUAGCAUUGUAAGCACCACCGUCUUUGUUCCCUGGAUCUGGAAUUUCUUAUGUGUAUCACUGACACUGGCAUUCCUGCCAUAUUUAUGAAGACAAGUUACAGUAUUGUUUAUCUGCAUAAUACCAGUCUGCUUGAUCAACGCUUAAUUAUAGUACCAAUCUUCUAUAUUUUUCUGAGUGCUGCCAGCUUCAACACUUCUUCAGGGAAUCUGUCUUUCUCUCCUGAGUCACCAGAAUUACCUCUUCUGCUUCUCCAACCAGACACUGUGGGUAGUGAGAAGGAAAGGAGAAUAGAAGAAGGGUGGUCUAGGACAGGAAGUGGAGAAAUGCCUUCAUUGGUCAAAGUUGGAUUUAAGUAUUUCAGGAAAGUAAACUACUUAAUAGAGAAGAUUGUGGCUGGUUCUUCAAAUUAAUUCAGCUUUCAUCGCUCAUUGAGGCAAGAGUUUAAUAAGAGGAAAAGAAGAGACCUUUUGAAGCGUUUCGUCAAAAAUAACAGAAGAAAGUACUUGAUUCCAUUAAACAAUGAAGCAACUACUUUCUAAAAUGGGACACAGUUUUAGGAUUUGCCUAUUUUACACCACUAAUUCAAACCUUUCACAUCACAUACAGUGGCACUGUUAGUAGGGGUUUAAUUUGGAAUUUGUCUUUUUCAAGCUGACCUUAAAACAACCCUAAGUUGUUUUGGUAAUCUAUUGUGAGUCUUCAAAAUUCCAAUAUCCUGUUUGCAUAUUCUCAGUUGUUCAUUAAUCUUUUACUUUCA
rnacentral:lncRNA from 1 species